UAGAAGCAACUUAUCUCUAGUAUUUUCUGCUCAAUGUUUAUUUACCAAAUAAAUUGCCGCAAUAUUCAACUGCGCUAAGGUAGCAUAAUCACUUGUCUACUAAUUAUAGACUAGAAUGAAUGAAAUAAUGAGAUUAUUAUUGUCUCAUAGAAUAAAAUAAAAACUUACCCACAGGUGAAAAGGCCUUUAUCCCUACGUAAGACAAGAAGACCCUAAGAGCUAAAACUAUUUCAUAAUCCCAUAUUAUCAAAAUUUUUGGUUGGGGUGACCUACAUACAACAAUCAAUCUAAACUAUAAAGAUAAACAUAUCAUAUAAAUGAUCCGUACUUACGAUCAACGAAUAAAGCUACCUUAGGGAUAACAGACUAAUAUUCUUUUAAAGUCCAUAUCCAAAAGAAAGAUUUGUACCUCGAUGUUGGCUUAUAUUAAUAUUUGAGGUAGGCCUCAAAUAACUUGGGUUCGUUCAACCCUUAAAACCUU
rnacentral:rRNA from 1 species